rnacentral:rRNA from 1 species
GGUCAAGCUACAAAGGGCGCAUGGUGAAUGCCUUGGCAUCAGGAGCCGAUGAAGGACGUGAUAAGCUGCGAUAAGCUUCGGGUAGGCGCACAUAGCCUGAGAUCCGAAGAUCUCCGAAUGAGGAAACUCACAUGGGAAACCCCAUGUAUCAUUAAGUGAAUACAUAGCUUAAUGAAGGUAACCCAGGGAACUGAAACAUCUAAGUACCUGGAGGAAGAGAAAGAAAAAUCGAUUUUCUUAGUAGCGGCGAGCGAAAGGGAAAGAGCCCAAACCGGAAACUUGUUUCCGGGGUUGUGGACAUAGCAUCAAAGUGGAGGCUAUUGUAACUGAAGAGAACUGGAAAGUUCCACCGUAGAAGGUAAUAGUCCUGUAAGUGAAACGAGAAGACCACGAGUUAUGAUCCAGAGUACCACGAGACACGUGAAACCUUGUGGGAAGCAGGGAGGACCACCUCCCAAGGCUAAAUACUACCUGAUGACCGAUAGUGAAGCAGUACCGUGAGGGAAAGGUGAAAAGAACCCCGGGAGGGGAGUGAAAUAGAACCUGAAACCGUGUGCCUACAACCGCUCAGAGCCCCUUAUGAGGGUGAUGAGGUGCUUUUUGUAGAACGAGCCAACGAGUUACGGUAUGUAGCAAGGUUAAGUACUUAAGGUACGGAGCCGAAGGGAAACCGAGUCUGAAUAGGGCGACUAGUUGCAUGCCGUAGACCCGAAACCGGGUGACCUAUCCAUGGCCAGGUUGAAGCGAGGGUAAAACCUCGUGGAGGACCGAACCACGUUGCUGUUGAAAAAGCAUGGGAUGAGCUGUGGAUAGCGGAGAAAUUCCAAUCGAACCCGGAGAUAGCUGGUUCUCUCCGAAAUAGCUUUAGGGCUAGCGUCGAGUAUGAGUAGUGGAGGUAGAGCACUGAAUGGGCUAGGGGGCAUAGCGCUUACCGAACCUUAUCAAACUCCGAAUGCCACAUACUUUGAGCUCGGCAGUCAGACUACGAAUGAUAAGAUCCGUGGUCAAAAGGGAAACAGCCCAGAUCGUCAGCUAAGGUCCCAAAGUGUAAGUUAAGUGGGAAAGGAUGUGAGAUUUCUAAGACAACUAGGAUGUUGGCUUAGAAGCAGCCAUUCAUUAAAAGAGUGCGUAAUAGCUCACUAGUCGAGAGAUCUUGCGCCGAAAAUGUAACGGGGCUAAACUUACCACCGAAGCUACGGGCUUGAACUUAGUUCAAGCGGUAGGAGAGCGUCGUAACCGGGCUGAAGUUGUACCGUAAGGAGCGGUGGACUGGUUACGAGUGAGAAUGUUGGCAUCAGUAGCGAGAUGUGGGUGAGAAUCCCACAGGCCGAAAACCUAAGGUUUCCUCAGGAAGGUUCGUCCGCUGAGGGUUAGUCGGGACCUAAGCCGAGGCCGAAAGGCGUAGGUGAUGGACAACUGGUUGAUAUUCCAGUACCACUACCAUCGUUAUUAUCGAUGGCGUGACGCAGGAGGAUAGUGUGUGCUAGCUAUUGGAUGCUAGUCUAAGCGUUUAGGCAGUGAGAGUAGGCAAAUCCGCUCUCAUAAUGCUGAGGCGUGAUGGGGAAGGUUCUACGGAACCGAAGUACAUGAUUCCACGCUGCCAAGAAAAGCGUCUAGAGAGAGAAGUAGUGCCCGUACCGCAAACCGACACAGGUAGGUGAGGAGAGAAUCCUAAGGCCGGCGGAAGAAUUACAGUUAAGGAACUCGGCAAAUUGACCCCGUAAGUUCGCGAGAAGGGGUGCCUACGAGAGUAGGCCGCAGAGAAUAGGCCCAAGCAACUGUUUAGCAAAAACACAGGUCUCUGCUAAAGCGUAAGCUGAUGUAUAGGGGCUGACGCCUGCCCGGUGCUGGAAGGUUAAGGGGAACACUUAGCGCAAGCGAAGGUGUGAACUUAAGCCCCAGUAAACGGCGG